rnacentral:RNase_P_RNA from 1 species
GAGGAAAGUCCGGGCCCCACAGAGCAGGAUGCCGGCUAACGGCCGGGCGCCGCGAGGCGACAGACAGUGCAACAGAAAACAUACCGCCGAUGGCUCCGCAAGGAGAUCAGGCAAGGGCGAACCGGUGGAGUAAGAGCCCACCGCGGACGUGGCAACACGGACGGCACGGCAAACCUCAUCCGGGGCAAGGCCAAAUAGGGGAGCAUUGACGUGGCUCGCGUCGCUCCCGGGUAGGCUGCUAGAGGCCGUCGGCAACGGCGGUCCCAGAUGAAUGACUGUCCACGACAGAAUCCGGCUUA